rnacentral:lncRNA from 1 species
CGGCCUGAGGCGCAGCGGUCGCGUUAGUUCGGCCCAAUGGCGGCACCGCUGCUUCACACGUUGUUUGUCGGGAGAUGCGGCCGCUUCGUCCUCUGCAGUCAAGACGCUGGGCGCGUCGAGGACUGGCUUCUACUUGAAUGAAGACAAAAAUCUAGGCCGGGCGCGGUUGCUCACGCCUGUAAUCCCAGCACUUUGGGAGGCCGAGGUGGGCGGAUCACCUGAAGUCAGGAGUUCGAGACCAGCCUGGCCAACAUGCGAAACCUCGUCUCUACUGAAAAUAUAAAAAUUAGCCAGGCGUGGUGGCAGGUGCCUGUAAUCCCAGCUACUCAGGAGGCUGAGGCAGGAGAAUUGCUUGAACCCGGAGAUGGAGGUUGCAGUUAAGCUGAGAUCACACCACUGCACUCCAGCCUGGGCAGCAGAGCAAGACUCCAUCUCAAAAAAAAAAAAAAAUCCAGCCACGUAGAGAUUUGGGAAAAGAGUAUUUCCAAUAGAGUGAACAGAUUUCAAAUAUGCGUGCAUUAGAGAAUGAUUUUUUCAAUUCUCCCCCAAGAAAAACUGUUCGGUUUGGUGGAACUGUGACAGAAGUCUUGCUGAAGUACAAAAAGGGUGAAACAAAUGACUUUGAGUUGUUGAAGAACCAGCUGUUAGAUCCAGACAUAAAGGAUGACCAGAUCAUCAACUGGCUGCUAGAAUUCCGUUCUUCUGUCAUGUACUUGACAAAAGACUUUGAGCAACUUAUCAGUAUUAUAUUGAGAUUGCCUUGGUUGAAUAGAAGUCAAACAGUAGUGGAAGAGUAUUUGGCUUUUCUUGGUAAUCUUGUAUCAGCAUAGACUGUUUUCCUCAGACCGUGUCUCAGCAUGAUUGCUUCCCAUUUUGUGCCUCCCUGAGUGAUCAUUAAGGAAGGCGAUGUAGAUGUUUCAGAUUCUGAUGAUGAAGAUGAUAGAAUGUUACGUUCAUAACUUACUAAGGAUUAGUGUAUAUUUUCCAACCUUGAGGCAUGAAAUUCUGGAGCUUAUUAUUGAAAAACUACUCAAGCUGGAUGUGAAUGCAUCCCGGCAGGGUAUUGAAGAUGCUGAAGAAACAGCAAAUCAAACUUGUGGUGGGACAGAUUCCACGGAAGGAUUGUUUAAUAUGGGAUUCGCAGAGGCAUUUUUGGAACAUCUUUGGAAAAACUUGCAGGAUCCAAGUAAUCCUGCCAUCAUCAGGCAGGCUGCUGGAAAUUAUAUUGGAAGCUUUUUGGCAAGAGCUAAAUUUAUUUCUCUUAUUACUGUAAAACCAUGCCUAGAUCUUUUGGUUAACUGGCUGCACAUAUACCUUAAUAACCAGGAUUCGGGAACAAAGGCAUUCUGCGAUGUUGCUCUCCAUGGACCAUUUUACUCAGCCUGCCAAGCUGUGUUCUACACCUUUGUUUUUAGACACAAGCAGCUUUUGAGCGGAAACCUGAAAGAAGGUUUGCAGUAUCCUCAGAGUCUGAAUUUUGAGCGGAUAGUGAUGAGCCAGCUAAAUCCCCUGAAGAUUUGCCUGCCCUCAGUGGUUAACUUUUUUGCUGCAAUCACAAAGAUGAAGACUUGUGGAUAUGGAUGGUGGUGAUGGUUGCACAACAAUAUCAAUUUAUUUUAUACCACUGAACCGUGCACUUCAAAAUGGUUAAGAUGGUAAGUUUUAUGUUGUGUAUUUUACCAUAAUAAAAAAAAUUGUAGAGGGAAAAACA